AGGAGCGAUUUGACAUUGUUUUGUUUGAGUCUCAUUCGCUCUCUUCACACUGGGCGCCUCGUUAUGAUUAAGGGAAGACACUCACAAACACGCUGAAACAUGUGGACGGAGGUGAGAAACAACAACAACACUCACGAAGAACCACAGGACCACAGUCUCAAACAGAUAGUUUCCCAAGUGUCUUCAUGGCUCCCCUUCAACUCUGAUAGAAAUGGCUCAGUAACUGCCAGUCCACCCCCUCUCGCUGAGACCCCCGUGAACAGACCGAGUGGAAUCAUACCAGGUAGAGUUUCACUCUCUGAUUCCCCGAGGUCACAAUAGAGUGCAAAAGUGACCACCUUUUCAGCUACACUACCAUUCAGUGCGAUCGCUGCGGCAGUGUUCAUAGGCCUUCUGUUAGCCCUCUAUGCUGUUCUUUGGAAAUGCAUGGUUACGCGACCGAAAAGUGUCUCUGUUAGGAGGAAAAAAAGAACAAGUUUGAAGGCUCGUGAACAGCGGUCUCUUAUGUGUUGACCCCUGGACAGGACAUCCGCCAGUCUACCAGAGAUUCUGAGUUACUGAUCUUAGGUCAGAUCUUCUCCUGCUCUGUAUCAGCAUCCUCAUGAACUGUGUUUAGGUCUUAACGCACACUAUUUGAGGGAACAUUUUGAGGCGCUUCUGUUUUGCAGUUCUACAUGGUCCUCAACAGAUAUAUAUCUCCAGUCUUUCAUAAGUCACCCAUCAGGUUCUUAAUCGGUCUGCUUGGCUGAUCACCAGACGUUAUCCAAUUGGACAGGGGGAGUUACAUUUUUGAAAAUUGUCUUGAUAAUGUGGAACUUAGUCAUUAAACUGAAUAAUUUUGUGUAUGUAUAUAGAAAAUAACAAGCCCAUAUGUGCUCUUGAGCUACGUAUGAAUAGUGUACUUGAGUAUAAGAUAUUUCCAGAGUUUAUAAUGUAGG